rnacentral:rRNA from 1 species
UAGGGAAUCUUCGGCAAUGGACGGAAGUCUGACCGAGCAACGCCGCGUGAGUGAAGAAAGUUUUCGGAUCGUAAAGCUCUGUUGUAAGAGAAGAACGAGUGUGAGAGUGGAAAGUUCACACUGUGACGGUAUCUUACCAGAAAGGGACGGCUAACUACGUGCCAGCAGCCGCGGUAAUACGUAGGUCCCGAGCGUUGUCCGGAUUUAUUGGGCGUAAAGCGAGCGCAGGCGGUUAGAUAAGUCUGAAGUUAAAGGCUGUGGCUUAACCAUAGUAGGCUUUGGAAACUGUUUAACUUGAGUGCAAGAGGGGAGAGUGGAAUUCCAUGUGUAGCGGUGAAAUGCGUAGAUAUAUGGAGGAACACCGGUGGCGAAAGCGGCUCUCUGGCUUGUAACUGACGCUGAGGCUCGAAAGCGUGGGGAGCAAACAGGAUUAGAUACCCUGGUAGUCCACGCUGUAAACGAUGAGUGCUAUGUUAGACCCUUUCCGGGGUUUAGUGCCGUAGCUAAUGCAUUAAGCACUCCGCCUGGGGAGUACGACCGCAAGGUUG